AUUGAACGCUGGUGGCAUGCCCUACACAUGCAAGUCGAACGGCAGCACGGGAGCAAUCCUGGUGGCGAGUGGCGAACGGGUGAGUAAUAUAUCGGAACGUGCCCAGUCGUGGGGGAUAACGUAGCGAAAGCUACGCUAAUACCGCAUACGAUCUAUGGAUGAAAGCGGGGGAUCGCAAGACCUCGCGCGAUUGGAGCGGCCGAUAUCAGAUUAGGUAGUUGGUGAGGUAAAGGCUCACCAAGCCGACGAUCUGUAGCUGGUCUGAGAGGACGACCAGCCACACUGGGACUGAGACACGGCCCAGACUCCUACGGGAGGCAGCAGUGGGGAAUUUUGGACAAUGGGCGCAAGCCUGAUCCAGCAAUGCCGCGUGCAGGAUGAAGGCCUUCGGGUUGUAAACUGCUUUGUACGGAACGAAACGGUGAGCUCUAAUACAGUUUGCUAAUGACGGUACCGUAAGAAUAAGCACCGGCUAACUACGUG
rnacentral:rRNA from 1 species